GACGAACCGUGCGAACGUUAUUCGGAAUCACUGGCUUAAAGCGCGUGUAGGCGGGUGGGGACGUCGGCCGCUGAAAUCCCCCGGCUCAACCGGGGAAGGGGCGCCGAAACGGCCCGCCUGGAGGGACGUAGGGGGGGGCUGGAACUUCCGGUGGAGCGGUGAAAUGCGUUGAGAUCGGAAGGAACGCCCGUGGCGAAAGCGAGCCCCUGGACGUCUACUGACGCUGAGACGCGAAAGCCAGGGGAGCGAACGGG
rnacentral:rRNA from 1 species